rnacentral:rRNA from 1 species
GAUGAACGCUGGCGGCGUGCCUAAUACAUGCAAGUCGAGCGAACGGACGAGAAGCUUGCUUUUCUGAUGUUAAUGGCGGACGGGUGAGUAAAACGUGGAUAACCUACCUAUAAGACUGGGAUAACUUCGGGAAACCGGAGCUAAUACCGGAUAAUAUUUUGAACCGCAUGGUUCAAAAGUGAAAGACGGUCUUGCUGUCACUUAUAGAUGGAUCCGCGCUGCAUUAGCUAGUUGGUAAGGUAACGGCUUACCAAGGCAACGAUGCAUAGCCGACCUGAGAGGGUGAUCGGCCACACUGGAACUGAGACACGGUCCAGACUCCUACGGGAGGCAGCAGUAGGGAAUCUUCCGCAAUGGGCGAAAGCCUGACGGAGCAACGCCGCGUGAGUGAUGAAGGUCUUCGGAUCGUAAAACUCUGUUAUUAGGGAAGAACAUAUGUGUAAGUAACUGUGCACAUCUUGACGGUACCUAAUCAGAAAGCCACGGCUAACUACGUG